AAUAGAUACCCCGGUAGUCCACGCCGUAAACGAUGAGUGCUAAGUGUUAGGGGGUUUCCGCCCCUUAGUGCUGCAGCUAACGCAUUAAGCACUCCGCCUGGGGAGUACGGUCGCAAGACUGAAACUCAAAGGAAUUGACGGGGGCCCGCACAAGCGGUGGAGCAUGUGGUUUAAUUCGAAGCAACGCGAAGAACCUUACCAGGUCUUGACAUCCCGCUGACCGUUCUAGAGAUAGAUCUUUCCCUUCGGGGACAGCGGUGACAGGUGGUGCAUGGUUGUCGUCAGCUCGUGUCGUGAGAUGUUGGGUUAAGUCCCGCAACGAGCGCAACCCUUGAUCUUAGUUGCCAGCAUUCAGUUGGGCACUCUAAGGUGACUGCCGGUGAUAAACCGGAGGAAGGUGGGGAUGACGUCAAAUCAUCAUGCCCCUUAUGACCUGGGCUACACACGUGCUACAAUGGACGGUACAGAGGGUCGCAACCCCGCGAGGGUGAGCUAAUCCCAUAAAACCGUUCUCAGUUCGGAUUGUAGG
rnacentral:rRNA from 1 species